GCAUAUCAAUAAGCGGAGGAAAAGAAAAUAACAAUGAUUCCCCUAUUAACUGCGAGUGAAGAGGGAUAAGCUCAAAUUUUAAAUCUGUUUUGGUUUUACCAUGCAGAGUUGUAAUUUGAAGAAACGUUUUCUGUGUCUUGAAUUAAUUAAAAUCCUCUGGAAUGGGGUAUCAGUGAGGGUGACAGUCCCGUUCAUGGUUAAUUUUAAGACGCUUUAUGAUACGUUUUCGAAGAGUCGAGUUGUUUGGGAUUGCAGCUCAAGAUGGGAGGUAAAUUUCUCCUAAGGCUAAAUAUUGGCGAGAGACCGAUAGCGAACAAGUACCGUGAGGGAAAGAUGAAAAGAACUUUGAAAAGAGAGUUAAACAGUACGUGAAAUUGUUGAAAGGGAAACGAUUGAAGUCAGUCGUACCAGCGGGAAAUCAACCUUUCGAGUGGGAUCUUGGAGCUUUAAAGAGUUUCAAAGCCUUUGGGGUUUCAAGAUUUCUACUCUUUUGGUGUACUUUCUCGUAGGUAGGUCAACAUCGAUUUUGAACAUCAUAAAAAGAUCGGAGGAAUGUAGCUUCGAUCUCGUAUUGAAGUGUUAUAGCCUUUGGUAAAUGUGAUGUUCAAGAUCGAGGAUUGCAACGAAUAUCCUUUUGGGCUAUUCGUCUGAUCUCUGAUACGUGGCCUUGGUAUCAAAAGCGUGCUUACGGUAUUAAGGUAUUACGGUCAAAAGGUUAGAACGGAUUACAUUCGUUAAGGAUGUUGACGUA
rnacentral:rRNA from 1 species